CUAGACCGGGAGACACUUGAAGGAACAACACCGCGUGAUUGAUGAGGCCUUCGGGCUUAAACUCUGUUGUCGGGAAAAAACUGCCAGUUGAAUCACCUGGGACCUGAACGGAAUUAACCAAAACCCACGGCAACCUACUGGCAACGGCCCCGUUACAAACACCCGCUCCGUGUGAAAGCGCCCCGUCCCCUAAUUAAAGGGGUUGGGGGCGGGAAGAGCGUUGGAAAAAAAAACUUUCCAUUCCAAAAACCUGUCUUGGCUGUUGCAUUAAUGAAUCAGCCCACUUGUGGGGAGAGCGGUUAUUGCAUUGCGCGCUCUUACGCUCCCCCGCUAACUGACUCAAUGCGCUCGGACGUUCGGCUGCCAGACCCGUAUCAUCUCACUCAAAGGCAGUCAUACCGUUAUCCACUGGGGUGGGGGAUAACGCAAGAAAGAGGGUGGGGGCGGGGGGGGAAACAAACCGCCACGGGCGGGAAAAGGGAGAGCGUUGCUAGCUUUUUUCAAUAGGCUCCAACCCCUUGAUGAGCAUCACAAAAAUCGACGCUAAAGUCACAGCUCGCGAAACCCGACUGGACUAUAAAGAUAGCAGGAGUUUACCCCAGGAAGCUCCCUCGGCGCUCUACCUGUUCCGACCCUCCGCUUACCGGAUACCUUGUCCGCUUUUCUCCCUUCGGGAAAGCGUGUGCCUUCUCAGAGCCUCACGACUUUAAGCCAUCUCGGUUCGG
rnacentral:rRNA from 1 species